UCCUCUAUGCCGACCACGAGCCCGACAGAUCUCAGUUGCUGGCUUGUGGGGAAAACACGGGAGGGGGCCGCUCGUCCCCAGAGUCUCCCGUCGUCUCCAUCUCCCUGGGAUGCCUCCUUCCAGGGAACUCGACCUCCACCAGCUCGCCCCCGACUCCACAGCGACCGGCAGCAGCGGCGCUCGCCCAAGCUUGUUGAGGUGGAUUAAAUAUAUUGGUUCAACCCAAUUUGCAAAGCUGGAUUUCUGUUAGGAGGAGUAGGAUGCAAUUGAGCAAGCAUACAUCCCUAAGACGCUUCAUUGUUAUUUUCGUAGCCAGGGGAAGAGACCAUGGGAAGCAAGGGGAAAGUUUGGAAGUUGGCAAGUCAUUUACCAUAGCUCUCAACCGUGGCCUGGUAAUAGUCUUCUUGUUGUCCUUUUAUUUUCCAAUGAAAACCUGCGGGGGACGAUAAUAGUGGGAGAUUGUAAGUGUGUUUUGUUUACAGGCAUUGACAUGCAUAUCUUAUUUAAACCUUGAGGCUCUAAAGUCCUAAUAUGCAUAUCUUUUUUAAACCUUGAGGCUCUAAAGCCCUACAAAGGGUGCGAAAGAUGGAGAAUCGACAGCUAAUCUGCCAUAGAUGCUGCUGUUUUCUUAGGCUCGUCACCUCCAGCACUGUCUAUAACAGAGAGUGAGGUUGCCAGAUGUGGUAGUUGAUACUAGGGAUAUAUUGGGCUUAUUGCUGCAUUCUGCAUCAUUGCUGCAGUUUGCUCUGAAGGAAUUGUAGUCAUGAGUGUACUAGAACUAGACCAUGUUCCACUAGUGACAUGGGCACUACCAAAUCGUUCUCUUAGUUGCACGGCCUGUUCACCCUCUGCUCGGGCAACCUGUGUCAAUUAAUUCUGAUUAGUUGCAAGCAAUGUUGAAGAAAGUUAGUUGUAACCUCAUAGCAAAACUCCAGCAACAAGUUUAUAGAAAUGGAUACUACAUACACAGAGAAGAUACAUGUUUUGAUUCUGAACAUUUAUACGGCUCGAGAAAACUCCUGAACUACGACGCACUGAACUCCUGUAAUUGUGAUGUUGAAUCAUAUGGGGAACCUCUAAUUGGAUAUUUGGAUGCCUAUGGUAAGUUAUAAAAUUUCAGGCAUGUUUUUCCAGUACAAGUUUACUACCACUGUAGUCUAAGCUAGUGAUGUUGGUGGCAAAGCUGCCCCUCGUAUCCUUUAGAUUUUAACUUCUUCUUUUUUCUAUGUGGCAUCUGUAGAUAUUGAGUUUGAGAACAACAGUGAAGUUGGUGUUUCCUCUAAGCUCACAAUUGCCUAAUGCAUAGUUUUGCAAUUGGAGGGUCCUACAGGGUGAUGAGCAAGUGCAUUGUGAACUGUGGAUUGCAAGGUUUCUUCAUGGAAUUUUUUGGCCAUGUGCAGAGCAUGAUUCUUGUGUGAGAUCCGCUUCGUCAUGUUUAUUCAGGUGAUUUAAUUCCCCAUCUAACUUCUGCUGGGCUGCUUCACCUCGUAUGGCCGUCCAUGGCAACUCGUCAUCGUCCUCACCUGGUUUGGCCAUCGCGCUCUCCAGACCUAGGAAAUUAUGGAGAAUACAGUGGGGCUCCCAAAGAGGAGGUUUUGCAGUAUGCUAGAGUGGUUUUGGAUUGUGUCACCGCUGAUCCUGAUGGCCGGAAGAGAGCUCUUCUCAUUUGAAGCGGUAUAGCAAACUUCAGUGAUGUGGGCUUUAAGAGAAAAGUUUGCCUGCCGUUUGGGACCAAGAGCCAAUGCGCGGGACGAGAUCCUAGAGAGGCAAGAUGCAGCAGGUAUUUUUUUCUUUGCCCUUUGUUUGCAUCAGAGUCUCAGUUAACUCACAGCUGCUCCGGCCCCUCAGGUAAAGGACUAUUUUUAUCUUUUUAUCUGUGAGGCUUUUCUCUGUUAGUGACAAUACACUUCUCUCGAUGUGGUCCACGUAAAUACUUAGGUUUUUUGCUUUUAGUUAUGCCUCGCAAGUUCUGUGUGGUUUACAUUUAGCUUUCCAAUUAUGUUCAUGCUCCUUGAUGCUCAUACUAUUAAGUGACCGUUACAAGCAUAUUAGUUACUCAACUAAUAAAGCCAAGCUAUCGCCUUGGUCGCCUCACGUCUCAUUCAUGUGAGAUAAAAUAGGAUGUCUCCGUCACAAUGUUAUUAACUUUGAGGUAGAGCAGCCUCCUGGUACAGUUUUGGUGUGCCUGAGGGACGGCGCAUAUGGAGGGUAUUUUUUGUAAUCGCCGUGGGAGAAUGGUGCCCUGUUUUUUUUUGGAAAAACUGAAAAAUAAAACCUUAAAUGCACUCUAAUAUUAAAAUUACGGAACAAAACAUAUAGCUUGAGAGACUUUCUCUGACCCGUGGAUGAUCCAUAUUGUUAUUUUUGUCUAUCCACGCGAAGUGUGAUUAAUACCUUUUCUGAGUUAAAUGGUUGUUGCAUAAUAUGGCAGAAACUGAUUACUUGCAGUAUUUGAGACUCUGAUGCAAACAAAGGUCCCUCCAUAUUUGGCCUAUUGAUACUUGACUCCUACCACAUCGUAGAGCACCCUGUUGUGCGUGUCGCUAGGUCCCCUGCCUUCUGAUAUAUUUCUGCAAGUAGUCUUUACUCUUAAGGAUCCAAGCCCAUGUUCGAUCUGAAAGAAGGCUCUCUUAUUUUCCCUAUACAAGUUAUCCGUGUAUCUAGCUUCAAUCACUCGCGAAUAAUAAUGUUUUUCUUUCUCUACCGUCUCCGACACACGUCAAUGUUUACAUAUCUCUUCCGUAGGACCUUUCCAAAAACAAUGUAUUUACUCAUGAUCAAAUGUAUGUAUGUGCACUGCCAAAGUCGAUGGACAAAUCAUCUUAUUGUAGCUUGAGCACAGUAACAUUUACUAAAUGCAUAUUACACAA